rnacentral:lncRNA from 1 species
GGCUCGGUGUUUUAUUCUGGUGGAGGAUGUUGCCAUUUAAGACGGUAGGAUCACCGUGAUCUUAUUUUUCUUCUUCUGAUUCUUGUCAGUUAGGAUAAGUUUGUCAGAGACUGGAUGUUCAGUUUGUUGCGUAGAUUAGAUUUCCCUUGUUGAUGUUUUCAUCAUGUAAGAAGUUUCAACCUACUACAUGUUUGCAUCACCCCCUGGUCCCUAGUAUAAUCCUCUUCCCCACUUAGCCAAGUCAUCCUGGCCGUCUAUCUGGAGGUAUUUACCAAGCUGUUGUCACCUGAUGGAAACUGAAGACUAUGUAAACAGUAUAGUAUCAGACUAUCAGUACAAAUCUACAGACGCCUCUUCCAAUUUUGUGCCUCGUGUUACCUCUCUCUGUUUGUUACUCCCUCCGUCCCGAAUUACUUGUCGCAGGUAUGGAUGUAUCUAGAUGUAUUUUAGUUCUAGAUACAUCCAUUUCUGCGACGAGUAAUUGGAACGGAGGGAGUAGUUUCCAUCUGAUAUUUUUGCUAAACUGAUUUACCUGGGAAGGUUCGAGCAUUGACUCCAUAACCCUUUUUUUUAUAGAAAGGAAGCGAUGCCCCCAGCAUCUGCAUUGUUUGAUGUGCACAUCCAAUAAACUCUGUAACUAUGUUGCCAGAUUUUACGUUUGGAACUAGCUGAGAAUUUACAGCUUAAUCUUCGUCUGGGUGAGUAAUGAGAAUCAGAAUUACUGAUAUUAUUGUUUUCUUCGUAGUUAGCCGGAGCUGCUUAGAAGCCUCAUGUGUGAACCGAUCCCACAUAUAUCAGAACCAAUCACACGCUGAGAGAAGACAUUUAUUUGACAGCAGAAUAAAUAGGAGAGAACAAGUAAUCCUGAUGACUGGUAGCAACAAUUCGUAUCUAGUUGCUAGUGAAGAUUGUGCAGAAUUAGUCAUGUCUGUGUUAACUAUGUAUUGGUUGUAGCUGGGCUUGAUUUGUUGUUGGUUGACCAUACAAGCACUUACAUUUGGAGAUCAUCUUCAGUGUCAGAUUGUUGUCAUAUUCUGUCAAGCACUGGCACCGGCGCCGGCGUCAUAUUCUGUGUGCUAGUCUGGACAAAUCAUGAUUUUACUGGCUUAAUAGUUAUUGGCUGCUGCAUGAAUAGUUCUGAUCACUGUACCAGAAUACUGAAUCAGUUAUUAUGAGAGAA